rnacentral:lncRNA from 1 species
AUGGAGAUGUUACUACAUGUAAGAGAGUUUUAGACAGUGACUUGAAGUGCCACACCUCCCUUUCCAAAAAAAAAAGUAAGUUUUUUCUUGUUCCUUCUUUGAAAAAUGGGGCAAGAGCUUUCUAAAUGGAUGUAUAUGUCCAAGCUUUAGGGAGGUGGGAAGUUACUCUCCAGAGGAGAUGAUCUGAACCUAAAGGACCUUCACAAUAUGAGAAAUGUCCAAAAAAUAACAGAAUGAGAUAAGGACCAAGAGAAAGAUGGAGUAAGAAAUAGAGAAGGAAAAUGAAGGUUAAAAAACCAGAGGAUGAUGGUGAGAGCUAUCACAUGAUACAAGGUGGUAUAUGAUUCAUCAAAUUCAAUCUUCACAAGUAUCAUAAGAAUUUAUUUUUCAGAUUAGGAAGGGAGAUCAGUUCUGGAACUACCUUUUAAUAAGAGAGUUUCACAGCAUGUGCUCCAAAAGGAAUUGCAGAGCGAGGCUCCAGGCCGUAGGCAAGCCGCAAGCAGCAGUUUUACCACGAUGACAUGAGGAGAGCUGCAUAAAUACCACCGAUGUCAAGGUCCCCAAGAUCUGGGGGGAGAGGGAGGUCUCCGUCAAGGGUCUAGGGGGCCAUGUGCAGGAGCUGCCAAUAACAAAGAGGCUUCUGUUCUCACUGGCCUGUCCUCCACCCUGGCCCAGAGGCACAGUCAUUCAUUUGACCUUCCUUCUGCUGUGUCUGUGUGAAGACCCCCACUCCAAACUACUUCAAUGGCAAGAGGCGACUGGGAACAGCUGGGAACUGUUGUUAGCUUCUGGCAACAUCCUGGAAUUUCUUCCUUGUGGAUCCUGUGCCCCUGAGCUGCUGGGGGCCCCUGACUUGACCUGGAGUUGAACUUAGCUGAAGGGUCCAGGGCUAGGGGUUGCCUCCUUGUCAGCCCUGAUAGUAGCAUGAAAUUACACAGUCUUUCCAAGAAAGCCGAGGCUGCCUUUCUAGCCAUUCCUGGGGUGGAAAGACUAUCAGAGGCUAUGUUUUCGGCAAAUCCAUUCAUGUUUUCCAAGGGCAGGAUAGUGCAGGAGAGAGUGACCAGAUAAGACACUCGCUUUUGUUCACAAACACCCUGAGGAGGUCCCUUAAGAGAUAGCAAAGCUUCUGGUGGGGAUGAGGCAGAGAAGGUUUGCUUCAGAUAAGAUGCUAGUCGAGGGACAAUUGUUGUUUUCAAGGGAGGAGAUACAAAACAUCCGUUAAUGGGGUUUGUCCAAGGAUGAACUUUUCAUUCACAGAAUUAGAGAAUGGGGAGUUGCAGCAAUUCUACUCUAACUCUUUCUUUUAAAACACAAGCAAAAAGAGGCCAAGAGAGGGGAGGUGACUUUAUCUAGAUCCCACAGCAAGUCAGGAGUAAAGCUCUGUGUAGGGUUGGAUGCUCUGACAUAAAGUCCACUGCUUUUAACUACUAAGUCCCAAUAUUUCACCUCUCCAUCUUGUCAUUUCUCUAUGUCUUUAUUUAUUAACGAGUCCAUCCACCCAUUCAUGCAUUCCUUUAUGUGUUUGCUCAUCAAUGUUUAUUCAGAGUACAGAGAUGACUGACAGUUCCUCAAGGAAUGGAUGAUGUCAUGGAGGAGCCGCCCAUGAAUGUAUAGCAGAGGGACUAGUCAAGCAGCGUGGGAGAGGCAGAGACAGGGCAUUAUCACGGUGAGAUUGAAGAAGGCUUCAUAGGGAGGAUGGCUCUGGAGCUGAGUCUUAAGGUGGAAAAGGAUUGCAUUUGUUGAAUAAGAGGAGAAACGCUUUAGCACCGUACUUUUAGAAGUGGCAUGAAGAAUGAAUUGAAGAAGUGAGACGUUGGCACCAAAGAGAUGAGUUAUAGCAGUUGGUUCAUUCCACAAAUCAGCGAUACAUGCUUCAUGUCUUCAGAGGCCAUCCAUGGUGUUGGCCACUGUGGGGAUGUCAAGUUGUAAAGACCUGGACCCUUUCCUUAAGGAGCUGAACUUGCCAAAACACAAAUGUGCUCAAAUAACAUAAUGAAACGCAAAAUGAACACAGGACUAGAAACUGUGAGCUCUGGAUUUUAGUCUCGCUCUGGUAUUGAUCUCCAUGGUGUUUUGGGGCCUUGAAUAUUUCCUUACCUGUGAGAUGGUGAGGUUAGGUCUGCCUUCCUGUCCCAGGGAAAAGGCAAAGGCAGUGUCCAUCUCUAGCCUAUUCCUUCUUGGUUGUAUGAUCAUGAGAAGUCAUUUCAUCACACUGGAGCUCAAGUCCUCAUUUUUAAUGUGGGGGGAGUAAAAGCUUGUCCCACGGAGUGUGAGGAUGAUCUAAAACAGCUGCAGGAGAGUACAGAGCAUGCUACCUGGAAGAGAGUCAGCCUCUAACAAAUGCUCAUUCUUUGUCCCACACUCCCAUGGCUCUGUUUUUUCUUGGAAGGGGUGAAUGGAAUCAAGGAUGGUAAUACAUAUGAAAUCUCGUUAAAAUAGGAAGUGCCCUCCAUAAAUGCCAGGGGAAUCCCAUGUAGAUUUCUACAUAGGAGAGUCUGGGGGGGCUCUUAAGGCUGAUCUCUGGGAGGAUCUGUGCCUCUCCUAGUGUCCUGUCUUUCUUCUGGUUCUAAGUCUCUGGACAGGCCUUCCCCAGGAGGGCUCCUUGGUCAAAGGAACUCCUUUCCCAGAAGCAUGCAGAAGGUGACAGGCACAAACACAAAGACAGACUGUCCUUGGCUUUCUGGAGCAGAGAUAGCUUCAGACAUUCUGCCUCACUCUUAUGGGGACCUGUCAGCCCAGUUCUUGGGUCAGAAAAUGGGUUCAUGGUAGGUUAACCUAAGCCACAACCAGUAACGACUACUUUUCUCUAAUGGUUCAUCAAAGCCUUUUGACCCUUCCUUCUCCAUUGCUCUACCAUCCACCUCCACUGUUCCAGCCUUCCUGCAGCUCCCACGUACUGCAUGCCUUCGUCACUUCCUGCUUUGCCUCUGGCGCUAGCGUCCGACUGUUCUUCCCUUCUUCCAGUCCACCUUUCUCACCACAACUAAAAGAACGUUUCUGCUUUGAUCACAUGAUUGCCGUGGAAGUGAAACAUGCAGAGAACCCCAAGGGGUGAGGAGGCUGCAGCCCUUUAUUUGGCUGGACUUUGUCUUGAGAGCUUCUCUGCCCUUGCUUUGCUUUGUUUAUAUAGAAACAGGUAUUUCGUUAUAAUUCCUUUUUUUUUCUGCAGAAAGAUUAAGUGCAAACACUUGGCAUUCAAGGCAACCCCUCAGGGAAUCCAGCUUUUCCAGCUUUCUAUGACAAACUCCUUCAAGUACAUUGUAGUGAUUAAGGGCAUGGACUUUCAAUCCUGACUAUGUUCAAGUCUUACCUCUGCUGCCUAUCAGCUAUGUGAUCUUGGGCAAGUUACUUAACCUCUCUAUGCUUUGACUUCCUUAUCCAUACUUUGGGAAUAAUAAUACUCCAUACCUCACAGGGUUAUUGUGAGGGUUAAAUGAGAUUAUCUAUAUAAAGUUCUUAGAACUUUGCUUAGCACAGUAAGUACUCAAUAAGUUCUAUCCAUUCCAGAAACCUCCACCCUAGCUAAAUUCAUCUCUGUUAACAGCCGCACAUGUGCUUUUGACUUUCCUGCCUCUGUGAUUUCAGCUGCUCCUUUCACCUGCCUGCAAUGAUCCCUCUCUUUCCUUUUGGCUUUAUCCAAGCUCUCCUUGUCCUCUAUUGCUAAGGAAACUCAAGCAAUUUCUCAGGACCUCUAUGGCUAAGGAAACUCAGGUAAUUGUUCAGGAGAACGAGACAGAACUCACCCUGGUUCCUACAGCUGAGUUACUGUGGGAGGUCACCUGGCUUCUCCACAUUUCAGCCUUCCCCUUGGUGAAGUGCAGAUACUUAACACAGACCUUGUGAAGUCAUUGAAAGAAAAAUUCUCAAAUUCUGGCAGAUAGUAGGUAUUUAAUGAAUGAUAGAUAUUAUUAAGCCAAGCUAGUCCUUCCUACCUGAACUUUUCCCUCUGAACUCUUCUAGUAAUUAUUGAUUCCAUCAUUUAUCUGGUCAUUCAUUGACCAUGUAGUACUUUGUAUCACCUCAUCUUUUCUUUCUUUUUGUCCUGCUUGGAAUGAUUACUGUAAUCUUAUGACUGCUUAGUUUUUUAAACAUGCAUAGUAUCCUCCUCACUGCAUUGGGGUUUCCUGGCGGGAAGACCCUGCACAGACAUUUGUAACGUGACCAGAGUUUUAAUGUGCAAUCCCUCCAUGCUAGCAGCUUGGUGAGGUGCUUACAUUUUGUAGGACUUCAUAGGCUUUUUGCUGUGGUAUGUCGGCCUGGUACAGCCCAGGGCUUUGAGGCUGCAGCUCUCUCUUAAGUGUUUAUUUUUUGCACCUUUGCCUUUGGGCGAUGGACUCCCCCACCUAAAGCUUUGGACUUUUCCUGGCUGCCUCAUUGACCAGUUGUGAGGCUGACACCAGCCUGUGAGUCCAGAGCUGGGUCAGAGCAGAUAAGGGCUUGUUCUCAGAACCAGCAUGGUGAUCACUGUGUGUCUUCUCCUUAUUUUCUUCUCUGUGAAAACAUGUGCCUCGUAAUUUGUGUUCUGAGAAAUAUCUCAACGGUCCUGUGCCCUAAACAUUUCCUCAUCUGAGAUAAGGCCUGGAUGUUGGCUCUAAGGAGGGAAAAAGGUACAGUGGAGAGGAAGUUCUGAUCAGCAGGAAGAUUUCCCAAGCAACGACACCGCCUCUGGCAGCAAUGGCCUAGAAACUGGGCUGCCUUGGUGCAGACCGAGACCAAGGCCAUUCCCAAAGGAGAGGCUGACAGCAUUGCCCAGGCAUCCUCUUCCCUGCCAGGCAUGGACCUUCUGAGGGAUGUGGGGGCUACUGCACCUAGAGAGAGGCACUGGAGCCUGAGAAAUCAGUGCUUUGAGGCCUCAGUGGUGGGGCUGGUGGCUGAGGCUGCUACUGGUGGAGUUGACGGGCCCUGGAUAAGACCCAGAGUUCAAGAUUCUGGUCUUGGCCAUCAGUUCCUCACUGUGUGAUCCUGGGCAUGUCACUUAAUCUCUUUGGAACCCAGUUUCUUGCCUAGAAAAUAAGUAUGUCUUAUCAGUGGUUUUAAAUUUUUAAUUAUUUAAAAAAUCAUCAGAAUGCUUUAGAACUUUUUUUUCCAAAAAGAAUUGUAUGCAUAUUCCCAGUUGAUACAACAGAUAAAAAGAACAGUCCUGUAUGGAGGAGUUUGGGCCACCAGGGGCCUGUGCCCAGGUCCUUCCUGUCAUUCCAUGCUGCCAUGCCUGUUCUGUUCCCCGGGACAUGUUCAUGCAAACCUGGCUUCCCCAACACAUUUUAAGCCCUCUGGACUAGCUUUGUCCCCAGCUUUGUGUUCUGGGCCUACCAGUCAGCUUGGCUGAUUUUCCCCAGGUCAGUGGUGAUGGGAGAGCAGUGCUGGUGUGCGGAGAGAGGGCAAAUAUUUCACCAAAGGACCAAGUCCCAGACAAAUCAGAGAGGAUGCUGGUCAGUGUGCAUUGGUUGAAUAUCAGUACCAGUUUUGUGUCAGAAUGAGCUGUGAAAUUUUUAACAAAUACACCCUUCAGGGUCUAUCCAGCUUCACUUGAAUCAAAAUUUGGGGCUAUUAUUUUGAAAAAUAGGAAAUAGGUAUGUGCAGCCCCUCCUCCUAACAAAUAGGCAACCCCAAAUCAAAAUACUAAAACCUUGAUUCUGGAGCUUUGGAUGGGUGGGUGGUCUCCAGGAGGUAUCGUCAGAAUAAAAGGGGUCUUAAGUUAACUUGGAGCAUGGCAAGGGCAAGAAUAACACCAAUAAUAUGAUGAAGUACUUACUCUGGAAUAGGUUCCAUGCUUAACAUACCAUGAAAUAGGUGGAUACUAGUUUCCUAGGGCUGUUUUAACAAAUGACCACAAAGCUUCAUGGCUUAAAAAAUCCCCCAGAAAUUUUUUUGCUUAGAGUCCUGGAGGCCAGAGUACAAACUCAAGGUGCUGGCAGGGCCACACUCACUCUGAUGGCUCUAGAGGGGACUUUGUCUUAGCCUCUUUCAGCUUAGGGAGGUUCCAGGCAUUCUGUGGCUUGUGGCUGGAUAACUCCUACCUCUACCUUCAUCUUUCUUUGCGUGGACUUUUCUUCUUCUCCUGGUGUCUGUCUUUCUGCGGUCAUAAGGACAUUUGUCACUGGAUUUAGAGACAACCUAGAUAAUAUAGGAUGAUCUCAUCUCAAGAACCUUUACAUAAUUACAUCUGCCAAGACCUUUUUAUCAAAUAUGGUCACGUUCAGAGGUCCUAAGGAUUAAGAUGUGGACACAGGUAUUGAGUGAGGGACAGCAUUUAACCCCAACUUGUUAUUAACACCAACUUAAAGAUGAGAAAGCCCAGGUCUAGUCCAUGGAGGUAACCUGCCCAUGGCCACACCGCUGGUGAGUGGCAGAGCUGGGCUGGGACUCACCCUCAGGUCUGCUUUAUGCUUGUCUUCUACAGAGCCUGUCACACAGACGUCCAGGGAGUAUGUGGACCAGGCAGAUGCAGGACAAUCAUUGGUGCCAGCUUGCAAGACUCUGCCUUGCCUACAGAGGGUGCUCAAUGCCUGUCUGUUAGAGAGGUAGUUCUUGAUUCUGAGACCUUGACCAGGACUUCUAGGGCAUAGUGAAUUAAUCUACCUGCCUCUAUAUCUUUAGGAUAGUGCAGGAAAUGUCGGAUAAAUGAAACUGAAUGCCUGGAAGAAGAUAAUGUUCUCAUAUGUCCGUGGACCUUUAUAGGGUCGAUAGCUUAUAGUUAGUGCAUAGAUGCUAUGGAAAAAGGCUGUAUGGGAAGACAGGGAUUCCUCUGAGAGACCCAGGUCCAUGCUUCCCUUCUUGCUCUAGCCACAAUCUGCUUGAGGGACUUCAGAUCCAUCACCCUGCCUCGAUUUCCUAGUAUAUAAAGUGAGGCUACUAAUGGAUUUCACAGGGUGUUUUCAUGUUUUGUUGACAUACAGGGAUCGGUCUGAAGGCAAGGGGAAGUAAAAGAUAGAAUUUCCAAGCUCCUCCUAGCCCUAGGGUUUUAGAAAAAAAAAGUUAAUCAUAUUUUGCACCAGCAGAUGUAAGCACAUAUUGUAACUGUGAGAAUAACAUGAAAUAGAGGACAAUCAUGCUCUUUUACUUGGAUUAGGUCAAGAAACAUUUUGCUUAAACUUCAAUUAGAGAGAUGGAAGUUAGACAAGAAUCCCUUUGUGAUGUCAGCAGAUGUAUUUCAUGGGAAUGGGGGAUGAGACAGACUUCUCAGAGGAGAGUUUGGGAAGGAAGAGGACUGUGGGGUGCAGAGGGCGGGAACGAAGCCUGUUGAAACAUUUUGACAUAAGGAAGACUUUUCAAACCAUUAAAGCUGUGAAACCCAGCAAUAGGUGACUUGGAAAUAUGACAGGGCCUUGCAAUCAACAAAACAGAGGCCAGAUUCUGAAACCAUUGUGUAUUAUUUGAAAGUCAUUCUGCCUCAUAUAUACCUAUUUUUUUACUGAGAUGGACAGGUUAGCCACUCGCCUCGGCCUUCCAAGGUGCUGGGAUUACAGGCGUGAGCUACUACAUGUGGCCUCUGCCUCAUAUUUAUCCAGCCAGUGUAGACCUGGGAUUUGGAGUCAGACAGAUCUGUGUUAAGUUCGUGCAUUGUCAUUUGCCAAUUUUUGACCUUGUACAAGUUACUUAACCAUCCUGAGCCCCAGGUUCCUUGGCUGUGGUAGUGAUAUAGAGCACCUCUCUCCUGAGGUUGUCUGUAAGGAUUAGAUGAGCCAAGGCAUGGUAUAUAAUGGUACUUGGCAUAUAAGAAGCAUUUAGAAGUUCUGAUAUAUGUGUAGGAAACCCCAUCAUCCUUGUUUAUGCCAUGUGAGCAGUUUGACAAAGCUCUGAGUUGAGGCAGGAGAGUCAUCAUGCUAUUUAAUGACAAAUGCUUUCAGUGUUUCAAAAUGGAGGUAAAUGGAAACUUGAUGUUUUUCUCAAACACCAUUAAGUUGAGGCAAGGCUUGGAGGAGCCUCAGGAAGUUCUCCUUUCCUGUGACUGCGGGUCUCGGGAACGGUGUUGGAAUGCCCCUGCCCGCUGGCUUCCUUCUGCUGCUUUGGGGCCUGUCUGCAGACAGGCCAGAUCCCAGUCAUCUGAAACACCACUCAGAAGGCAGGAAUGUGCAAUCCGUUCCAAGCUGGAAGUGACUUUCAUGUGACAGGCCGCACCACUCUGUGACUCUGUAACUAAUUUUCCCUGCCCUGGAAGCUCUCCAGAUUCCUGGGAUGUGAUCAAUUGAGGAAACCACUUCAGGUCACAUUCAGGAGAGUGCUGUAUCUGGAAUUGGGUGUGAGAGCUCCCAGCAUGUGGAAAAUUCAGACUCCAAGUUUCUUUAUGUUUUUUUCUACUCUUUUCAGGCUGGUCUUGUUAGGUAAGGAACAUGCAAAGAAACCCUCAAAGUUGAAAGAAGUUAAGACAAAAACAAGAGCUGGAAUUCCUUGACUGAAGAGGUCAUUGUACAUGGCAAACAAAUGCUCAGCUUAUCUUUACUUAACUGAAAUAAACGGAACUAAACUGAAUUGCUGUCAACGUGUUUAUGUGAACGCGUCUGGGACAUUUAUCACCGUAAAGGUGGUCUUAUAAAAGGAAUAUUCCUGUGUGAAUCCAGACACUGGCUUCUAGUGUUAGCUGGGUUCCUAACUCACUCUGAAUCUUUGGGCAAGCUGCCUACCUUCUCAGGAAGUCAGUCUCUCUGUCUCUAAAAUUAGUUGGGCUCAGAGUUUCCUUCUCUGUUUACAAUUCUUUGAUGUGUUUUAGAGGGCUGGAAAAUUCACCGCUGAUGGAUCUGUAGUAGGAUUCAUAAAGGUCUCUUAUGUUUGUAUAUUGCUUCAUUAUUUCCUUUGCUAUUUAGAAUCUAUUCAGCUUGACAGGGAAGGUUGUGUUAUCCCAAUAUAUAGAUUAGAAAACUGAGGCCCAGAUAAAUUGAAUGAUGUGGCCAUGACUUUUUGGCUGGUGACUGGAGGAGGUGAGAAUACAACCCGGAUCUCCUGACAUCUAGUCUGGAAUUCUUUCCUCUUGACAUGUAAGGUUGUGAGAAACCAUAUCUGACCAUGUCUGGGCUCCAUCAGAGGCACAAUCUUGUUAACUUGUUUCUUCUGAAUCAUGAUCUGACCUCAGGUAGCUUUUUGUAGGUUCUCAAUUGGAAUUCAGUUUAUAAUAAAAUGUAUUACAUGUUGAUAAUGCAGAUUUCCAAGGUGAGUCUUAUGACAAGGCAUGCGGAGGAAACACGGGUAAGGGAGAAGGAGUUUAGGCCUGAAACCACGCAGACCUGGUGGGCAUCUCUGUUCUACAGUUAACUGGCUGCUCACUUACCUUCAUUUUCACAUCUUUAAAAUGGGCAUUAUAAUAUCUAACUUUUAGGGUCCUCAAUACAUUAAUUCGUUCACUCUCUUCAUCUUAGUCAUUUGAAAACAAUAUUCUACAUUCCUUAUAAAUGAUUUCAUUUAGGAACAUUGAAUGAUAGAAAGAUGAUAGUAAUAUAUUGCUAUGUUAGACAAAUGAUACAAGUAGUAUGUUUUGUAUGAACUUAAUUUGUAUAAAAAUGCACAAAGUACACAAUAAAGAGACAAGAAUGAUUGCAUAUGGUUAACAGUGGUCUUCUAUAGGUGGUGGGACUAC